GCAGAAAAAAGCGCCGGCUAACUACGUGCCAGCAGCCGCGGUAAUACGUAGGGCGCAAGCGUUWUCCGGAAUUAUUGGGCGUAAAGAGCUCGUAGGCGGUUUGUCGCGUCUGCUGUGAAAUCCCGAGGCUCAACCUCGGGCCUGCAGUGGGUACGGGCAGACUAGAGUGCGGUAGGGGAGAUUGGAAUUCCUGGUGUAGCGGUGGAAUGCGCAGAUAUCAGGAGGAACACCGAUGGCGAAGGCAGAUCUCUGGGCCGUAACUGACGCUGAGGAGCGAAAGGGUGGGGAGCAAACAGGCUUAGAUACCCUGGUAGUCCACCCCGUAAACGUUGGGAACUAGUUGUGGGGUCCUUUCCACGGAUUCCGUGACGCAGCUAACGCAUUAAGUUCCCCGCCUGGGGAGUACGGCCGCAAGGCUAAAACUCAAAGGAAUUGACGGGGACCCGCACAAGCGGCGGAGCAUGCGGAUUAAUUCGAUGCAACGCGAAGAACCUUACCAAGGCUUGACAUACACGAGAACGGGCCAGAAAUGGUCAACUCUUUGGACACUCGUGAACAGGUGGUGCAUGGUUGUCGUCAGCUCGUGUCGUGAGAUGUUGGGUUAAGUCCCGCAACGAGCGCAACCCUCGUUCUAUGUUGCCAGCACGUUAUGGUGGGAACUCAUGGGAUACUGCCGGGGUCAACUCGGAGGAAGGUGGGGAUGACGUCAAAUCAUCAUGCCCCUUAUGUCUUGGGCUUCACGCAUGCUACAAUGGCCGGUACAAAGGGCUGCAAUACCGUGAGGUGGAGCGAAUCCCAAAAAGCCGGUCCCAGUUCGGAUUGAGGUCUGCAACUCGACCUCAUGAAGUCGGAGUCGCUAGUAAUCGCAGAUCAGCAACGCUGCGGUGAAUACGUUCCCGGGUCUUGUACACACCGCCCGUCAAGUCAUGAAAGUCGGUAACACCUGAAGCCGGUGGCCUAACCCUUGUGGAGGGAGCCGUCGAAGGUGGGAUCGGUAAUUAGG
rnacentral:rRNA from 1 species